rnacentral:rRNA from 1 species
AACGAACGCUGGCGGCAUGCCUAACACAUGCAAGUCGAACGAGACCUUCGGGUCUAGUGGCGCACGGGUGCGUAACGCGUGGGAAUCUGCCCUUCGGUUGGGAAUAACUGAGAGAAAUUUCAGCUAAUACCUUAUAAUGUCUUCGGACCAAAGAUUUAUCGCCGAGGGAUGAGCCCGCGUAGGAUUAGGUAGUUGGUGGGGUAAUGGCAUACCAAGCCGACGAUCCUUAGCUGGUCUGAGAGGAUGAUCAGCCACACUGGGACUGAGACACGGCCCAGACUCCUACGGGAGGCAGCAGUGGGGAAUAUUGGACAAUGGGCGAAAGCCUGAUCCAGCAAUGCCGCGUGAGUGAUGAAGGCCUUAGGGUUGUAAAGCUCUUUUACCCGGGAUGAUAAUGACAGUACCGGGAGAAUAAGCACCGGCUAACUCCGUG